GCUUUAUUUCGGUAUUGUGGUGGUUACCGCUUAUUCUGGGUUUAACAAAUGCCCAAAACGAAACGCCAGUUUCCCCUUUCCAUAUACAGCAUGUCCAAUCCAAAUUAUUCAUUGGCGAAAAUGCGGAUAUAGUGACUGAAAAAUUAGCCAAAUGGGGCUUCCACUAUAAAGUAGGAGAAACGGAUGGGAGAAUCAUCAGCUACGAUACUGGUAAAGCACUAGAUGUUCGCGGCGGAUGCGACGGCACGGAAAUAAUAACCUACAAAGAUAAGCAGUCAACCAAUCAGAAGUUUUAUUUUUCCCCCGACGGUACAAUUCGUUCCAAAUGUGACACAAAUCAGGUAGUAGCGCCGGAUAAAACUGGCCGAAAGCUGAUUUUGGAAAAAUAUGAUCCGUUAAAACUGACUCGUUAUAUAUUCGCGGAACUGCCUCCUGAAAUUUCGGUUUCAAACUAAAUAUUGUCAUCCAUUUUGAGAUUCCAUGAA